rnacentral:rRNA from 1 species
UAGGGAAUCUUCCGCAAUGGACGAAAGUCUGACGGAGCAACGCCGCGUGAGUGAAGAAGGAUUUCGGUUCGUAAAACUCUGUUGUUAGGGAAGAAAAAAUGUAUAGUAACUAUAUACAAAAGAGACGGUACCUAACCAGAAAGCCACGGCUAACUACGUGCCAGCAGCCGCGGUAAUACGUAGGUGGCAAGCGUUGUCCGGAAUUAUUGGGCGUAAAGCGCGCGCAGGUGGUUUAGAAAGUCUGAUGUGAAAGCCCACGGCUCAACCGUGGAGGGUCAUUGGAAACUAAUAAACUUGAGUGCAGGGGAGAAAGGUGGAAUUCCUAGUGUAGCGGUGAAAUGCGUAGAGAUUAGGAGGAACACCGGUGGCGAAAGCGGCUUUUUGGCCUGCAACUGACACUGAGGCGCGAAAGCGUGGGGAGCAAACAGG